UUCCAACAACCUGCUCUACUCUGAGAUCAUCUUUAACAAGAAAGAAUGGCAUUUUAUUGGCAUUAAAAACCUUAUAAGGGUCAGAAAACCACAAAGACCAUAUCACCAAGUAAUCAUCAGUACCAGCCCAGAAAGCAGCAGGAAAGGAAGAAGAGGAACCACUGUGAAGAUGCAGAAGAGUGGCUGUAGAUGAGCAGGCAUUCAGAAAAAGGCAAAGUGCAUUGUCCUGAAGAGAGCUGUGUGAGAACUGUCAGGAGUCAGAGCCAGGGAUGCAAACUCAGAGGAACUCGCUGCAUACGCAUGGAAGGAACCAUCUAUGGACAAAAGGCUGUCACCAGACACCACAUCUACCAGUGUCUUGAUCUUGGAUUUUUCAGCCUCCAAGUCUAUAAGCUUUCUAACAUCGUUAUCGUCAAGCAGCUUCUGAGUGCAGACAUGAUUGGUGAUUCUCGAGCAUUAUAGUCUUAAAAAAUGGGACCACAGAGUACAAAGGCAAAGUAGUUGGCAAAGAAGCACUGAGUCUCUGUGGCCAUAAACAAAUAUGCCAGUCCUUGAACUUCCUACUACAGACUUUUAUCCACGAGACACACAGCAUACCUGCUGAGCUACUGUGAAUGACAUUUUAUAUUGG